GUUUUCACUCACAUGUCGGAUGAAUAUUAUCAUUUGUUGUUCGGCUGAUGUCCCGACGGAGAAGUGGAAGACGUCUGUGCUGCAGUGUCUGUGGGACGGACGAACCUGAGGGAYACAGCUGUGCUGACCGUGUUCUGUCUCUUAUGGCAAAAAA